UCAGCAAACUUGUGAAUUAUGGAUUUUUUUUUUCUUUUUUCUUUCUUUAUUUCUUUCUCCUCUUCUCUCGCGUUCUCAGUCGUUCCGAUGACUGCUUUUGUGAAGAGAAGUGUCUCCUCCGUGCAAUCGGCUGCUUCUCACCGUGAAGUCAGCCUCCGGCAAGACUUACAGCCAGUUAGCGGCCGAGACAGGACUCAAACGCCGCACUUCCUGGGAAUCGGCUGAGAGUCUGAAAGCGAUUGCUACUUCCUUGGAGAAGGGUGUCGUGUCUAUUAAUCAACCAAUUGGUCGUAGAGAUGGACUUGUACUUAACGACCACUGAUGAUGUUGUCCGAACACGAGGUAUUUCUAUUCUCUUUUAAUAUGUAACGGAAAGAGUAAGGGUUUGUCUUUUGUAGGUAUUCUCCUGCUUGCGGUGAUGCUGGACCAUCUAAAGUUGAAGCCUUUGGACAAUGCAGUUGUCCAUAGUCUCAUUGGUUUCUUUACCGCAAAGCUGGCAGAGUGUAGUCUGUGCGGGGUGCACUUACUGGUUGCUAGGCUCUGCUUAAGAGGAAAAACGUAGUAGCCGGUGUGGUCACUGCUAUAAUAGCAGUGCUAUUGAUGCAGAAGCUGUGGCAAAGGAAAUAGCACAGAGUAUUCAAGUGCAGUCUUUAGCACUGCAUCACCGCAAGCUCUGUUUUGAACAAUUGGAGUGCCUUCUAGAGCAAUACCCUGACGCUAUGAUAAAUUUGGGAGAUUUGAUUGUUUAUGCUACAUGCGAAGCCAUCGAUGGAGAAAAAGAAAGAAGAUUGUAGCCACUUUUAAGCAGUGUGCUAGGUAUCUUACUCCUCUCUUCAACUUGUGCAGGAAGAAGGUAUAAAGCACAAUCCCAUUUCCUUUUAUUGCAAGUUCUUUGUUUUGCUUGCUGUUUGGGUGUGAAACAUAUUAGUGAUGAGAACAUUCGUGUACUGUACUUGUUGUUUGAACUUAUACAUAAGGUAGCAAAUUGUUAUGUAAUUAAUUUUUUUUUAAGAAAUCCAAAUUAAGAAACUACCAUUGCAGGUUAAAAAUUAGAUGAUUCUUAACUAAAGUCCCUAGCUAACAUUUAUUAGUUAAAUAAUCAUUAAGGUGUACUUAAUAAACUCAUAAGGUUUCUAGGGAUAAUCAUGCUCUUAUACCAUCUUUAUCGCUGAGUUCUUAAUGGGUUUUUAAGCCUAAUAAGGCAUUUAAUUAAAUCAAAACAAAAAGAAAAUUAGAUAACCGAUCCUUAAUAGAGGUUUUGGCAACCGAUCAUAAAGGAAGUUCUUAAUACACACGUCACUGUCAGCAAACUUGUGAAUUAUGGAUUUUUUUUUCUUUUUUCUUUCUUUCUUUCUCCUCUUCUCUCGCGUUUUCAGUCGUUCCGAUGACUGCUUUUGUGAAGAGAAGUGUCUCCUCCGUGCAAUCGGCGGCUUCUCACAGUGAUUCUUUUAUUAAAACUAACGGAGAGAUUACAAAGAUGAUGUGUAUGAAAUGCAUGAUAAUCCAACCAUUAGGUGCUACCUGCUCAAAUAUUUCAUGCAAUUCAUCAAUGGGAAAAUAUUUCUGCAAAGUAUGCAAAAACUAUUUGACGAUGAAAGAGAAAAAUAUAUCAUUGUUCCUAUUGCAGUCUAUGCCGAGUAGGGAAAAGAUUGGGAUUGAGUACUUCCAUUGCAUGAAAUGCAAUGCUUGUAUGUCAAGGACUUUGGUAGAACAUGUAUGCAUAGAAAAGUGCUUAGAAGAUAAUUGCUCGAUUUGUCAUGAGUACAUUUUUAACUCGAAUUCUCCAGUGAAGGCUCUUCCAUGUGGUCAUGUGAUGCAUUCAACAUGCUUCCAGGAGUACACAUGUUUUCAUUACACAUGCCCUAUUUGCAGCAAGUCACUAGACACUAGGGGAUAUGCAGGUGUACUUUAGAAUGUUAGAUGCACUGCUCUCAGAACAAAAGAUGCCAGAUGAAUACUUAAACCAAACACAGGCAAUACUAUGUAAUGACUGUCGUAGAAAAGGAAACACCCCUUACCAUUGGCUCCAUCACAAGUACUCUUCUUGUGCCUCCUACAACACCAGACUUCUCUAAUGCUUCCAAUUUCCCUCCUUGUAUCAUUGUACAUGAGCAAGUCUUAAGACAAUUUUUGUUUCUUCCUUUUUGAAAGCAUUUGAUUUUGUAUGAAAAAUCAUAAUAUUCGAGAUACAGUAUGUGAAACUCACUUAAUAUCAGAUAUAUUAUUGCAA